rnacentral:rRNA from 1 species
GCUCCAAUAGCGUAUAUUAAAGUUGUUGCAGUUAAAAAGCUCGUAGUUGAAAUUCUGAUUGUUCGGGUCUUAGCCUUUAGGCGGAGAUACCGACAGUCAUCCGCUUGCAAACAUAUGUUCGAUCUUCACCGGUUGACUAUGUGAGUAAGCAUUUUACCUUGAGAAAAACAGAGUGUUCCAGGCAGGUUUGUCCGGAAUGC